rnacentral:misc_RNA from 1 species
CGACCCCAGGUCAGACGGGACUACCCGCUGAGUU